rnacentral:rRNA from 1 species
GACGAACGCUGGCGGCGUGCCUAAUACAUGCAAGUCGAACGCAGUGGGGACGGGUGAGUAACACGUGGGUAACCUCCCAUCAGAGGGGAUAACACUUGGAAACAGGUGCUAAACCGAUACUGAUGGAUGGACCCGCGGUGCAUUAGCUAGUUGGUGAGGUAACGGCUCACCAAGGCCACGAUGCAUAGCCGACCCGAGAGGGUGGUCGGCCAACCUGGAGCCUGUGCACGGCCCAGACCCCUACGGGAGGCAGCAGGAGGGAAUCUUCGGCAAGUGACGAAAAGCUGACCGAGCAACGCCGCGUGAGUGAAGAAGGUUUUCGGAUCGUAAAACUCUGUUUUUAGAGAAGCGGUAUCUAACCAGAAAACCACGGCUAACUACGUGCCAGCCGCCGCGGUAAUAC